rnacentral:rRNA from 1 species
AACAAACGCUGGCGGCGUGCCUAAUACAUGCAAGUCGAACGAGGAAAGCUUUCGGGUGAGUACUAGUGGCGCACGGGUGAGGAAUACAUGGGUAAUCUACCUUCGAGUUUGGGAUAACUAGUCGAAAGAUUGGCUAAUACCGGAUAAGACCACAGGAUCUGCGGAUCUAGGGGUUAAAGGUUUUUCGCUUGAAGAUGAGCCCAUGUGGGAUUAGCUAGUUGGUAAGGUAAUGGCUUACCAAGGCUACGAUCCCUAACUGGUCUUAGAGGAUGAUCAGUCACACUGGAACUGAGACACGGUCCAGACUCCUACGGGAGGCAGCAGUAGGGAAUAUUGCGCAAUGGGGGAAACCCUGACGCAGCGACGCCGCGUGAGUGAUGAAGGCCUUCGGGUCGUAAAGCUCUGUCGUAUGGGAAUAACAUAAUGAAUGUACCAUGCAAGAAAGGAUCGGCUAACUUCGUG